AACGAACGCUGGCGGCAGGCUUAACACAUGCAAGUCGAGCGCCCCGCAAGGGGAGCGGCAGACGGGUGAGUAACGCGUGGGAAUCUACCCAUCUCUACGGAAUAACGCAUGGAAACGUGUGCUAAUACCGUAUGCGUCCUUCGGGAGAAAGAUUUAUCGGAGAUGGAUGAGCCCGCGUUGGAUUAGCUAGUUGGGGGGGUAAAGGCCUACCAAGGCGACGAUCCAUAGCUGGUCUGAGAGGAUGAUCAGCCACACUGGGACUGAGACACGGCCCAGACUCCUACGGGAGGCAGCAGUGGGGAAUAUUGGACAAUGGGCGCAAGCCUGAUCCAGCCAUGCCGCGUGAGUGAUGAAGGCCCUAGGGUUGUAAAGCUCUUUCACCGGUGAAGAUAAUGACGGUAACCGGAGAAGAAGCCCCGGCUAACUUCGUGCCAGCAGCCGCCGUAAAAC
rnacentral:rRNA from 1 species